UUAUACUGCAGUCGAACGAAGACAGUAGCAAUAUUGUCUGAGUGGCGAACGGGUGAGUAACGCGUUGGUGACCUGCCUCGAAGAGAGGGAUAACAGUCCGAAAGGAUUGCUAAUACCCCAUGUGGUCGUUUGGAUUAGAUGCCUUAUGACUAAACGGAUUUAUUCGCUUCGAGAGGGGCCUGCGUCCCAUCAGCUAGUUGGUAAGGUAAUGGCCUUACCAGGCGAUG
rnacentral:rRNA from 1 species